UAUGGCCAUACCAUCCUGAAGAGCCCGAUCUUGUCUGAUCUCGGAAACUAAGCAGGGUUGGGCCUGGUUAGUACUUGGAUGGGAAAUGCAAUAAACUUAAAUAGCCAAAAUAA
rnacentral:rRNA from 1 species